CACACUAAAAUGCUGGGAAGGAGGGAAUCACAUUUUCAUAGGGCAAUCAAAGUUCUCUCUCCGUUAUUAAGACUCACCUCACCAGAUGAGAUGACCGGCAAAGGCACCUAUUAACGCCACAGCUGUUACGCCUAAUAAGCUGAGGAAUCGACUGCUGGGACCUGUGGAAAGUGUGACGARAA